AGAGUUUGAUCCUGGCUCAGGAUAAACGCUGGCGGCGUGCCUAACACAUGCAAGUCGAACGCUCUCGGGUAACUGAGAGAGUGGCGGACGGGUGAGUAACACGUGGGUAUCUACCUUGAGGUGAGGAAUACCAGCGAGAAAUCGCUGACAAUACCGCAUAGCUUUCGUAAGAAAGAAAGUCGCAAGACGCCCCAAGAUGAGCCUGCGUCCGAUUAGUUAGUUGGUGGGGUAAUGGCCUACCAAGGCGACGAUCGGUAGCUGGUCUGAGAGGACGAUCAGCCACACUGGGAUUGAGAACGGCCCAGACUCCUACGGGGGGCAGCAGUGAGGAAUUUUCGGCAAUGGACGCAAGUCUGACCGAGCAACGCCGCGUGCAGGAAGAAGGUCUUCGGAUCGUAAACUGCUUUGCUCUGGGACGAGCAAGGACGGUACCAGAGGAACAAGCCCCGGCUAACUACGUGCCAGCAGCCGCGGUAAUACGUAGGGGGCGAGCGUUGUCCGGAGUUACUGGGCGUAAAGCGCACGCAGGCGGUGGUGCACGUUUGGGGUUACAGCUCCCGGCUCAACUGGGAGAGCGCCUCGAAGACGGCAGCACUUGAGGGCCAGAGAGGGACACGGAACUCCGGGUGGAGUGGUGAAAUGCGUAGAUAUCCGGAAGAACACCAAAGGCGAAGGCAGUGUCCUGGCUGGUACCUGACGCUCAGGUGCGAAAGCUAGGGGAGCGAACGGGAUUAGAUACCCCGGUAGUCCUAGCCGUAAACGAUGACCACUAGGUGUGCGGGGUAUCGACCCCCUGCGUGCCGCAGCCAACGCAGUAAGUGGUCCGCCUGGGGAGUACGGUCGCAAGAUUAAAACUCAAAGGAAUUGACGG
rnacentral:rRNA from 1 species